UAAUAAGUGUUUUAUGGCACUUUUUAAAUCCAUAUCCACCUUGUGUGCAAUGUCAGUCGAAUCUUCUUCAUGGAGAUCGACCAAACAUCAACCUUUAUCUUUUAACUCUUUGUCUGAAAAAAUAUUAUGAAUAAACAAUUCAAAAUA
rnacentral:misc_RNA from 1 species